GUGUAAUAAUAACAUCUCAGAGGGGGUCUGCCACUGUUUGGGCAAACACACUAUCUUUAUUUUUAUUUGUUAAAGAGAUUGAAUUAAGGAAACCAAAACAAAUAAAUGAGCACACUGAACUCCCCACAACCACCCUUCUCUUCCUGGAGCAAAAGCAAAUUCUUCCUUAGGCAAAAGGUCAGACAGGAGACAGAAUACCCAAACAAGCCCUGUAGUGCCUGACACUUUGAUUUACCAGUUGGCUGCGGUGAAGGGCCACAGAGCUGGGUAUGUGUUUCAUUUUCAGCACCUGCUGCUCUGGGAGAUGUGGUUUCAGGGUCAGGGUCAUCCAGGGCAGGCUUUGAGCUUCAGAAGUCAGGGACCAUGUCUGGUCAAUGUUGUUUCCUUCAAGCUCAGCUCAGGGCUUUGCAUACAGUGGGUGCUCAAUCAAUGUUUUGAGAAGGAAGGCAUGUGUGGGAACUAAGAUCCCACAUGCUGUGGAGCCCCUAAGCCCUAGCAUCCCAACUAAAACUUGACACAGUCAAAUAAAUAAAUAUAUUAAAAAAAAAAAAAGAUUUAGAGGGCCCUCUCAGUGAAGACAUGUCUCAAAACUCCCUGUUCAAAACCAGGAGGUCAGGAAGCAAAGGAGUCAGGGCGGAAAUGGCCUGAAUUUCAGGGACCCGGCAAGUGAAGAGUUUGGGCUUUGGAAUCAAACAGACAAGAGCACAAACCACAGCUCCACAACAUGUGACCUUGGACAAGCACCUUUACCUCUUCUCUACAUGUUGGUUUCCCUCCUUGUAAUAUGGGAUGGAGACUAGUAACUGCCUCCUCUGCUGGUAAAUAAGAUACAAUCCAAAGGCACAGAGCACCUGGCCCAGAGAGAUUGCUUCGUAUCUGCUAUCCAGCAUGGCCAUCUGAUGGGGCCUGGACCUGGCUAAUUGUGGGCCCUGCUCCUCCCUCUGCCUGAGCCCCCAGCAGCUUCUCUGACCCAGCUGGAGGAAGAAGCUCUGAUGGGCAUCUCCUGUCCGUGCACAUCAAGUUAUUUCUAGUUGAUUUGUUAUUGUGGUUGUUGUGGUUGUUAUUUCUACUAAGAACAUUGAGCUAUGAAUAAACUGUGCAUUUUUCUUGAUGAAUGUGGAAAAGAGAUUCUCUAGGGUGUACAUAAUAAUAAUUAUAAUAAUAAACAACUGGAAAAAUAAGGGCAUUGAGUGCUCAGGAU
ensembl:lncRNA